AAGAUAAGUUAUUCAAGAGUAAGCUUCUAACUUAACUCUUAAGCAAUGAAAUUUUGUUUUUAUCUUU
rnacentral:tRNA from 1 species